rnacentral:lncRNA from 1 species
UCGGUCAAGAGCUCCUCUUGAAUUGGCGAACUAUAAUUCAGUCAUUAUUAUUGAUCGCAGAGCAACAUUUUCAAUUAUCUUUUCUAUUCUGUCGUGAGCAUCUGACCAGGAAUUUAAAUUGCUUUCAAAUGAUCUGCGAAAUUCAACAUUAAUGGCACUAGCCCUGUUGCCAUUGCACCCAUACAUCCAUGAUUGUAGCCUGCCUAUUUCCGGUUAGUACGUUAAACAGUGUCCUGCCUUCAGAGAAUGACUGACAGGGCGGUAUGAACACGAAAAUGCAUUCGCUUUACAUUUACGUUACAUUAAGUUAGGAAAACUGCAUUAGAUCGUGGAAAAUCAAUUGCAAAAGAUGGCGCUGUUUCUCACUUUUCACAAAGCGGGGCAUGUCUUUGAAAAUGAAAUGCCAAAUGGCUUUUCAUUAACAUUUUAUUAUUGACAGCGAAUGUGCAUGUCAGUACAUGAAAAUGCAAAUGCAAAUCACAUGAUUGCAUUUGAAUUUUCAUAUUGACUGAAAUAAUGCCGGCAAAAUUGGAAAAUGAAAAUGCAUUGUGGGAUUGCAUUAACAUUUUAAUUAAGUUAACUAUAUGCUUCCAUAAUAAUUUGGUGUAGGAGGACUUUACUGUCAACAGUCUACCACAGAAACAUCAACCAAAUAAGGAAGUUACAUACGUGCUGUAAUCUGAGUGUGUAUACACUAAAACCUUACUCUUGCCUGAAAGUCUGACAAUUGUGAUUACACGUUUUACCAUAAAGAUCCCUCAGUUCCUCAAAAUGAGAGUUUGGAGAUGUUUUCUUCAUCUGACAAUAGGUGUUGGAGUUUCGCCUAUCCUGCUUUUUGCCUCUGCUGCAGCAGUGGGUCUUCUUCUGUUGGUGGGCGUUUCCUACGCAGUCUGGGGGAGGGGGAGGAGCAGAACUAUCAAGAUAAACCACACUGAAGGUAUGUUCUAACUGCUCUUAAUCAGGAUUUUUAUUAGCGUUGCAUAAUUCCCAUGUCUCCCAGACCUUCCAGUUAAGUGUGUAAUGUAUUAUUAAGUUGUUAAGUCGAAAAUAUAACAUUUUAUUUGCUGUGUACAAGCCAACAAGAAUUUCUUAAUACACGCUAUUUUGUGAGUUAAUUGCUUUGUAAGCAUUUGUUCACUCAUCCAACUUUGCUUGAAGUAAACAGAAUUUGAAAAGUAAAAUUACAAAUAUAUGUUAUCUUUUAGAAGGCUACACUGUUGAUUAGAUAAGCUAUAAGCCCAAAUGUUUAGUAAACUCAAACAAUCCUAUUGGAACUGGUUGGUUUACAAUUUUGUCAUUUUUAAGAAAUUGAUACAUUCUGCCAUCUAGUGUUUCCAUAGGUUAUUUACAACCCUAGAUAGCUUUAUCAGCUAACUACACUAUACAA